GAUCAAGCGACUAAGUGCAUCUGGUGGAUGCCUUGGCGAUCACAGGCGAUGAAGGACGCGCAAGCCUGCGAAAAGCGACGGGGAGCUGGCAAUGGAGCUUUGAUCCGUCGAUGUCCGAAUGGGGAAACCCACCUCUUUUGAGGUAUCAGCAGCUGAAUACAUAGGCUGUUUGAAGCGAACCGGGAGAACUGAAACAUCUAAGUACCCCGAGGAAAAGAAAUCAACCGAGAUUCCCCAAGUAGUGGCGAGCGAACGGGGAAGAGCCUGCUAGUGAUAGUCGAUGAUGUAACAGAACGGAAUGGAAAGUCCGGCCAUAGAGGGUGAUAGCCCCGUAUGUGAAACGUCAUUGGUGGUACUGAGCUAGCGAAAAGUAGGGCGGGACACGUGAAAUCCUGUUUGAAGAUGGGGGGACCAUCCUCCAAGGCUAAAUACUCGUGAUCGACCGAUAGUGAACCAGUACCGUGAGGGAAAGGCGAAAAGAACCCCGGGAGGGGAGUGAAAUAGAACCUGAAACCGGAUGCAUACAAACAGUGGGAGCCUCCUUGUGGGGUGACUGCGUACCUUUUGUAUAAUGGGUCAGCGACUUACGUUCAGUAGCGAGCUUAACCGAAUAGGGGAGGCGUAGGGAAACCGAGUCCGAAUAGGGCGCUGAGUUGCUGGGCGUAGACCCGAAACCAAGUGAUCUAUCCAUGGCCAGGUUGAAGGUGCGGUAACACGCACUGGAGGACCGAACCCACUAGUGUUGCAAAACUAGGGGAUGAGCUGUGGAUAGGGGUGAAAGGCUAAACAAACUUGGAAAUAGCUGGUUCUCUCCGAAAACUAUUUAGGUAGUGCCUCAAGUAUCACCUUCGGGGGUAGAGCACUGUUAUGGCUAGGGGGUCAUCGCGACUUACCAAACCAUGGCAAACUCCGAAUACCGAAGAGUGCGAGCUUGGGAGACAGACAUCGGGUGCUAACGUCCGGUGUCAAGAGGGAAACAACCCAGACCGCCGUCUAAGGUCCCAAAUGCAUAGUUAAGUGGAAAACGAGGUGGGAAGGCAUAGACAGCCAGGAUGUUGGCUUAGAAGCAGCCAUCAUUUAAAGAAAGCGUAAUAGCUCACUGGUCGAGUCGUCCUGCGCGGAAGAUGUAACGGGGCUCAAACUAUGAACCGAAGACGCGGAUAUGUGUUUACACAUAUGGUAGGAGAGCGUUCUGUAGGCCUGUGAAGGUGUGUUGUAAAGCAUGCUGGAGGUAUCAGAAGUGCGAAUGCUGACAUGAGUAGCGAUAAAGGGGGUGAAAAGCCCCCUCGCCGAAAGCCCAAGGUUUCCUGCGCAACGUUCAUCGGCGCAGGGUGAGUCGGCCCCUAAGGCGAGGCAGAAAUGCGUAGUCGAUGGGAAACGGGUUAAUAUUCCCGUACUUGCAAUAAGUGCGAUGUGGGGACGGAGAAGGGUAGGUCAGCCGGGUGUUGGAUGUCCCGGUUUAAGCGUGUAGGUGGGGGAUUUAGGCAAAUCCGGAUCCCUGUUAACACUGAGGCGUGAUGACGAGGAGUCUUUGACUCUGAAGUGAUUGAUCCCAUGCUUCCAGGAAAAGCCACUAAGCUUCAGCUUAUUGUGAACCGUACCGCAAACCGACACAGGUGGGCAGGUUGAGAAUACUAAGGCGCUUGAGAGAACUCGGGAGAAGGAACUCGGCAAAUUGACACCGUAACUUCGGGAGAAGGUGUGCCCCGGUAGCGUGAAGUCCCUGCGGAUGGAGCGUGAUGGGGUUGCAGUGAACUGGUGGCUGCGACUGUUUAUCAAAAACACAGCUCUGUGCCAACACGAAAGUGGACGUAUACGGAGUGACGCCUGCCCGGUGCUGGAAGAUUAAAUGAUGGGGUGCAAGCUCUUGAUUGAAGUCCCAGUAAACGGCGGCCGUAACUAUAACGGUCCUAAGGUAGCGAAAUUCCUUGUCGGGUAAGUUCCGACCCGCACGAAUGGCGUAACGAUGGCCACACUGUCUCCUCCCGAGACUCAGCGAAGUUGAAGUGUUUGUGAAGAUGCAAUCUCCCCGCUGCUAGACGGAAAGACCCCGUGAACCUUUACUGUAGCUUUGCAUUGGACUUUGAACAGACUUGUGUAGGAUAGGUGGGAGGCUAUGAAGUGGCGACGCUAGUUGUCAUGGAGCCGUCCUUGAAAUACCACCCUGGUGUGUUUGAGGUUCUAACCUGGGCCCCUUAGCGGGGUCGGGGACCGUGCAUGGUAGGCAGUUUGACUGGGGCGGUCUCCUCCCAAAGUGUAACGGAGGAGCUCGAAGGUCACCUAGGUACGGUCGGACAUCGUACUGAUAGUGUAAUGGCAAAAGGUGGCUUAACUGCGAGACCGACAAGUCGAGCAGGUGCGAAAGCAGGACAUAGUGAUCCGGUGGUUCUGAAUGGAAGGGCCAUCGCUCAACGGAUAAAAGGUACUCCGGGGAUAACAGGCUGAUUCCGCCCAAGAGUUCACAUCGACGGCGGAGUUUGGCACCUCGAUGUCGGCUCAUCACAUCCUGGGGCUGUAGCCGGUCCCAAGGGUAUGGCUGUUCGCCAUUUAAAGUGGUACGUGAGCUGGGUUCAAAACGUCGUGAGACAGUUUGGUCCCUAUCUGCAGUGGGCGUUGGAAGUUUGAGGGGGGCUGCUCCUAGUACGAGAGGACCGGAGUGGACAGACCUCUGGUGUACCGGUUGUCACGCCAGUGGCAUUGCCGGGUAGCUAAGUCUGGAAUAGAUAAGCGCUGAAAGCAUCUAAGUGCGAAACUAGCCUCAAGAUAAGACUUCCCUGGGUCUUUAAGACCCCUGAAGGAUCGUUCGAGACCAGGACGUUGAUAGGUCGGGUGUGGAAGCGCAGUAAUGCGUUAAGCUAACCGAUACUAAUAGCCCGUGAGGCUUGAUCCU
rnacentral:rRNA from 1 species